GAAUUAUGAGAUCCAGAAAAAAGCUUCUAACUUUAUUUCUAAGCAGUGAAACUCUGUUUUUAAUUCU
rnacentral:tRNA from 2 species